rnacentral:rRNA from 1 species
CGACCCCAGGUCAGGCGGGGACUACCAAA